rnacentral:rRNA from 1 species
GACGAACGCUGGCGGCGUGCCUAAUACAUGCAAGUAGAACGCUGAAGGAGGAGCUUGCUCUUCUGGAUGAGUUGCGAACGGGUGAGUAACGCGUAGGUAACCUGCCUGGUAGCGGGGGAUAACUAUUGGAAACGAUAGCUAAUACCGCAUAACAGUAGAUGUUGCAUGACAUUUGCUUAAAAGGUGCAAUUGCACCACUACCAGAUGGACCUGCGUUGUAUUAGCUAGUUGGUGGGGUAACGGCUCACCAAGGCGACGAUACAUAGCCGACCUGAGAGGGUGAACGGCCACACUGGGACUGGGACACGGCCCAGGCUCCUACGGGAGGCAGCAGUAGGGAAUCUUCGGCAAUGGACGGAAGUCUGACCGAGCAACGCCGCGUGAGGGAAGAAGGUUUUCGGAUCGUAAAGCUCUGUUGUAAGAGAAGAACGAGUGUGAGGGUGGAAAGUUCACACUGUGACGGUAUCUUACCAGAAAGGGACGGCUAACUACGUG